UACGUAGGGACCAAGCGUUGUUCGGAUUUACUGGGCGUAAAGGGCGCGUAGGCGGCAAUUCAAGUCAUCUGUGAAAUCUCCGGGCUUAACUCGGAACGGUCAGAUGAUACUGCUUUGCUAGAGUGCGGAAGGGGCAAUCGGAAUUCUCGGUGUAGCGGUGAAAUGCGUAGAUAUCGAGAGGAACACCUGAGGUGAAGACGGGUUGCUGGGCCGACACUGACGCUGAUGCGCGAAAGCCAGGGGAGCGAACGGG
rnacentral:rRNA from 1 species